UACGUAGGGGGCAAGCGUUGUCCGGAUUUAUUGGGCGUAAAGAGCGUGUAGGCGGCCAUACAGGUCAGCUGUGAAAACUCGAGGCUCAACCUCGAGACGUCGGUUGAAACCGUAUGGCUAGAGUCCGGAAGAGGAGAGUGGAAUUCCCGGUGUAGCGGUGAAAUGCGCAGAUAUCGGGAAGAACACCCGUGGCGAAGGCGGCUCUCUGGGCCUGUUCUGACGCGUGAGGAGCGAAAAGCGUGGGGGAGCGAACAGG
rnacentral:rRNA from 1 species